rnacentral:sRNA from 1 species
GCCAGGUGCGGUGGCUCUUGCCUGUAAUCCCAGCACUUUGGGAGGCCGAGGCAGGCGGAUCACCUAAGGACAGGAGUUCGAGACCAGCCUGGCCAACAUGAUGAAACCUUGUCUCUACUAAAAAUACAAAAAUUAGCUGGGCAUGGUGGUGGGCACCUCUAAUCCCAGUUAAUCAGGAGGCUGAGGCAGGAGAAUAGCUUAAGCCCCUGAGGUGGAGGUUGCAGUGAGCCGAGAUCAUGCUGCUGCACUCCAGCCUGGGCAACAGAGUGAGAGUCUGUCUCA